rnacentral:lncRNA from 1 species
CAGAGAUAAAAGACAGGGGCUGUCUGCACAUGAGCAGCAACCCCGGAAAGUCUGGAGCGAUUGCAAACCUAAGAGCAAAUACCAGUCAGCAAAACAGUGCUGCUAUUAAGAACGCUAACACAGUGAUGCAGUAACAGGAGGGUGACAGGCCAAAACCAGGAAAAGGCACCCAAGAUGUUAACCACAUUCUUGGAUUCCUGGGCACCCUCCAGUUUCUGACCUUGUUCUCCUAAACUCCAGCCUGCAACUCUCUGUGAAAAUGCAAAUAGCAAAAUGGGGAUAAUGUGUACUGUGACAUGGAGUAACAGGGGAUGCAUUUCCUUCAGUGGUGUCUUCACUUGGAGAAGCCUCAAUGCCGUCAAGAAGAGGAUGCCCACCAGGUUUAUUCCCAGCAUAACAACCUGAGCUUGAAUGAUUUACCUCAUGGUGUUUAUUUGCAAAAAGAGCCUUCUUUUUGGCUAGUUUGCCACUAGUGGGCAGAGCAUUCAGCUAAGAUGCUUUGGUGAUAGUUGUUUAGCAUGUAUAGAUAUAAAUGGUUGCUUCUGACUAUAGCCACAAUCGUUUGUCCAAUCAAAUAUUCUUAGGGCAAUAGAACAGGUUUAAUACAUCAUAAGGAAAAAACCACAAUAAAUAUACAUUUUUUUAAAAAGCACACACAUACACACACAAGGCCACUUGCUUCAUAAGGGAGCUGUGCAACUGGCAGGAGCUUUGAGGCUUGUAGUUAUUUAAGAAGGAAUUGAGAUCAAGCCUUGGAAUACAGGCAGCAUUUCAGUAGAUGGAUAUGGGAGGCAAAGGCAUUGGGAUAAGUGCCAGGGGUGUGUGCUCACAGGCAACAUCUAGUGUCAAUAGAUACAAAUAUAUCCAAACUCAUUUUCAGCUCUUAUAUUUUCAUCUUAAAAAACAAACACUACUAAAAAUAUUUAAUUGUUAUAGCAGAAAAAGUAUCUCCAACAUGUGAUACAGAGGCACUUUCUUAGGUCACCGAAAAUCACUUGGUAAACUAUUGAUGAAUGGCUUGAAAGCAUUAAUACUGUUUCUUAUAUAUGCUUAAUAAAUCCAAAGACAGUAAUGUAUUCAAUGAAACAGCAAGUUGCUCUGAUUAAAAAAAAAAAAAAAGCAGUCUCUCCUUUCCCAGAUGCAAGAUCAUUUUGGUGAUCACGUCCAUCAGGCAACCACUGAAGUCCUGGGUGAGUCUCUGAGGAGUUCCUGACCAUUAGGAAAUUCUUGAGCAGUGGGAGAGAGAUGGGCCUGCAGUGGCCAACAGCCUGUGGAAACAUUUACAAAAGCAUUCAGCAGUCUCUAAUGACCAGAAAGCAACUGGAUAUUCCACUGCAACAAUGAAAAGAAACAUUUCAAUUUGGAUUUGUUUGCUUGUGAAACAAAUGUUUACAACGGAAACCUCUGUUUGGGUUGUUACCACGCGCUCAAACAAAGUAUGUAUUUACUGAAGAAUCAAGUACAGCUUCUCAUUGUAAGGAUUGCCUCUUUGGGGACAGGCUAUAUCAUAAGGAUAAUGUGCUGGAUAACAAAAAAGAAACAGAACUACAAGACUUUAAGGCAACAGGCAAUAUGUGCAACACUUACCGGCUCUGCAAAAGUGGCUUUCCCAGGAAGUACGUAUUAGUUAGGAUAAAAAAACUCCAGGCCAGUAACAUAGAAACCAAGAAUAUGGUGGCUUAAACAAGACAGAGGUUUAUUUCCAUCUCUUGUUACAAUUUAGGUGUAAGCAGUCCAGACUAUGGUGUCAGGAACCAGGCUCACUCAGUUUUAGCUGUAGCAUCCACAGCAUUUGGCUUCCAAAGUGUGGUCCAUGGUGGCUGCUCUGGCUACAGACAUCAUGUCUGCCUUCAAGCCAAUGGAAAAGAAAGGAGAGUCGAGGGAGGGAUUGCUUUUGCCCUUUAGAGCAGUGGUUCCCAACUGAGGGCAAUUUUGCUCCUCCCCGAGAAGAAGAUUUUUUGUCACAACUUGGUGGUGGGGGAGGGAGGUGGUAGCAGCACUAUUGACAUCUAGUAGAUAGAUGUCAGAGAUGCUGCUAAACACCUACUACGGACAAGACACGCCCCCAUAUGAUGAAUUAUCUGGCCUAACAUGUCAGUAUUGCUAAAUUUGAGAAAUCUUGCGUCAAACCGAAAGCUUCUUGUUGACAUAUAUUUGCAGGACACAGAAGCUGGCUGAGGACUGUUUCCACUACACUCCAGCUGCAUUCUGAGGGAAUUGCCUGGCAUAAAUGAGCAUAAUCUUUGGCAGAGACUGCCAGUGGUCUCCAGUGUCUGUUCUCUUCUUGUAUAUUAAUAGAACUUCAACCUGGGCCAGCUAAAAGAUUUCCAGCUUUUCCCCAAUUGUAGCAACCAAAAAUGUCUCCAAACAUUGCCAAAUAUCCCCUAUGAUAUUUUAUUAGGAAAUAUUUCUCAGUUUGAUGUCCUUGGGCAAGUCAACUAAACCUUUGGAAUCUCAGUUUCCUCAAAACUAAUCAUAUGGGUAAAACUUUUCUCUGUAAACGACUGUGGUAGGCAGAAUUUUAAGAUGUCCUUCAAGAUUCCCACCCCGGGGUGUAUACACACCUUCUCCCUGAUAUUCAAUCAAACACUAAGAUAUGUGCUGCUGCAAUGGAACUUUUCAGAUGUAACUGAGGUCCCAAAUCAGUUGACUAAGAAAAGGAAAUUGUGCUCCUUGCACCUGAUCUAGUUAGGUGAGCACAUAAAUGGAAUGGGGCUCUUCCUGGCAAAAGAGAUUCAUUCAAAGUGUGAGAGGGAUUCAAUGCAAAGGACAUUCUCCACCACUGGCUUUGAAGAUAAAGGGGACCAUGUGUCAAGAAUGUGAUGGCCUCUAGAAGUUAAGAGUGGCUCUAGGCAGACAGCCAGCAAAGAAAUGGAGAUUGUAGUCCUAUAGGAAUAAAUUCUGCCACAAUCACAUGAGGUGGAAAGAGAACGUUGAACUUCAGAUGAGGACACAGGCCAUUUGACACCUUUGCUUUUCUUUCGUAAGACUCUGAAUAGACAACCCAGCCACUCCAUGUCCAGACUUUUGACCUACAAAACUGUGAGCUAAUAAAUAGUAUUGUUUUAAGCUGCUAAAUUUGUGGGAAUUGGUUAUACAGCAAUAGAAAUCUAACAGAGUUAUUGCAAAGAUUGAUUGCAGUAAUGGUAGUUAUCCUUUAGCGAAUGCUAUUAUGUUACAGAAAACUAGCUAGGCAUUUUAACAGAAUUAUUUAUCCUUUCAAUAACUAUUGCAAGAUAGGCAUUAUUUCCCCCAUUUUACAAUUGUAGAAAUGAAGGCUUAUAGAAGUUUCUUAAUUUGCUUAAUAUACCACAGCAAAGAACUGAAAUUUAAAUGCCAGCGUCCAUAUCCUUUUCUCAUUGUCUAACUUUGUUAAAUAUAAAGUAUUAGAAAAAAGAGGCAUCCUAAUUUUAUUCAUUUUGCUAUGCAUACACCAUGACUAGUGAACAUUUUGAGAGACAGUAGACACACAAACAUCAAACACUGUGCAAUUACACACAUGUUGAGGUUUAGUUCUGGAGUCCACGAUAGUGGCUAAUCUAAGACAAGUCUUAGUUUUCAGCUUAAUGACACCUCUAUCUAUUUGUUUGACGUCUUUUUCCCUUUAAGUUGCAUUCAGCCAGCAGUGGGAGCUUUGAAACCCAAACAUUCUCUGUCGUCAUUUUUCAAAGAAUAUUUGAGCCAUUUCUGGACUUGUUGUACAUCAAGGAAAGGAAUGCCAGAAGCCACAUAUCUAAAUGUUUACUUAAAAUAAUAGUAAUUUUGAUAACUGUCACUUAGGAGCAUUUAUCAUGUGUCAGGCCCAGGGCUAAGUUCAGAGUGUUGGACCAUCCUCAGAGAAUCCUGUGAUGUAAACAGCAUUACUACGCUAAGCUUACAGGAGAGAAAAUGGCCUCAAAUAUCUUCAGCACCUUGCACAGGCAAACUUGCAAGGAGGUAGCCCAGACAAAAUCAAAUCCAUGAUCUGUUAGACUCUGUGCCUCUUACCUCCCAGUAGAUAUUGUUGUUAAUCGUGGAAUCUCACAAGCGUCCUCCAAAUCUGCCACUGGAAUGAAGAGGCUUUCUCAGGGUGUCCCCAGACGAGUCUGAACCCUAAACAUGGUGCCUGGUAUUUACUAUAUCUUGAUUCUGGUUUUAGAUACCAUCUACAUACACAUCUCCUGUGUAUGCAUGUGGUUCUCCAGUAGAACUCAUUUGGAGUGCUGCUUCUGGUUUACCUAUGCCAUAAGGAGCCUUAUGGCUGGAGUGCAUCUGAUGGUGAUGACUUUUGUUGCUUUACUCAUGUUCUUUCAUCCAAAUCCUUAAAGGGUACGGCACUUCAAUACAGCUGGUGAAGAUUAGGGUAUAUUGUAAGGCAGAAAGCUGAAAACAGAUUUCUCCAAGCCAUCUGUAAUGGCUAUGCAGCUGUGGUGCCCGCACACAUCUGGAGAGCUGCUGUAAAAUAAGAGUCUAACAUUUGGCAAAGGUACCCGAUGGCCUUGUUAUCAAAUGUGAAUAGAGGCAGAGUCAAGUUUAAGACUAGGAAGGGGACAGCCAUAACAAUAACAAAAUACGCAGAAAGGUAAAAGAGCAACUGAUAGAUAACAACACAUUACAAAAGGAGAAAAGUGUAUGGGGAAGAUGGUGAGAUAGCAGGAUAAGCGUCUUUGAAAAUGCUAAAGAGAGAGAUUCAAAAAUGCCUUGAUUGUCACAGUAAUUAGAAACUAUUGGAAUUGUGCUUAGUUAAAUCUGGUUAAUUUGCGAGACUUGGCAGAAGAACUGGUGUUAAAGGUUGCCACAGAUGACAUUUGGUGUGAUGUGUCCUGGGGGCGCUCCAUCAUUACUGAUUGAGUAAAUGACAUUAACAAAAGAGAUGGACAAGCCUGUCUCCACUCAUUUCAUGGAAUACCAUUGCCUUUUAAGGGAUCCUGCCAACCUCAGCUUUUCUUCAACUGAAAAAAAGAAAAAAUGGUGCUGGAAGUAGCUUUAAGAAGAAUUGAGUCAUUAAGAUGGUGCAAACAGAUUCCUUUUCUGAAAGCAUGGCUACCCUGUGGUCAAUUCCCCCUUGGUGCUCUGUAAUAGAUUCUCCCACAGCCUUUGAAUCUUCCAAGAAGUUUCAGCAAAUGAUUGAUAAUAGGAUCUGCCCCUAGAAAGGAGGCAGAUUUCAGAGCUGCGAGAGAAAGCCCAUUGAAUGGCAGGAUAAAUGUAGGAGGAGAACGGAGAGGCCUCACCAUAGUGGGAAGCUCGGUUUCGCUCUAAGUCGUUGGCAUAGAGCUCAAUUUGGGGUCUUGAUGCUCCUUUUAGUUUUAAAGUAGGAAUCUCACAGUCAUUCUUUUUUCAGGUUGAGUUGACAUCGAGAAAGCAAGCUGCUCUACUUGGAGCCAAACCAGACAGCCUGCCCAUUCUGCUAAUUGGAUUUGGGGAUCUGUGUUGAGGUAGCUUGAGCUGGAAGUUUAUUCACCUCUGCUCAGAUGCCAAAUCCAUUGGUCCAGAAGUACAUAGAAUCUAAAAAAAUUAAUUAGCAAAAUGGCUAUGUCAUGGACAUUUCCAAAAUGUAUAUCUUGUGGUUGGUCUCAGUUGGGGACUCUUUUAUUUUUAACUGAUCAAUUAAACUUGUCUAGCUACAUGAAUUGUUCUAAUUACUGAGUUUUCCCAGAAUUAAAUACUCUAAGCUAAAUCAACUAACAUUUAGCAAACGGGAGCUCCUUCUUCUGCUUCUCUCCCUAAGAGCCCUCUAUAGAAUUAACAGUUAGGUGCUAAUUGCAGAUGAUUAAGUGCUCACCAGUGUUGGAGUCCUUUCUUUAAUAUUAAUGAGAUGGAUUAGCAUGGAACAUGUCUUCUAUUAAUAUUAUAAAUGGAAGCCUGCAUGGAUCACUGAGUGCUCUUUUGUAUCAUAAGGAGCAUUUGGUUUAAAGGAAUAAAGAAAGUACGCUCCUAAACUGUAUCUUCCUUUCAAUUGCGAAAUAAAGUUACUGAGGGAAAUGUUUCAAUAUCAUUCAUUUAGAGCAACCAUGUAGCAUUUUUGCAAUAACCAGAGUUGCAAACUUUUACAUAAAACUUCUUUCAGCUGUCUCCUUGAGUAGGCAUAGCACAUUAAACCAGAGUAGAGUUUAAAUUAUUCCAUAAAGUAUGAUCCAGAAAGACCCACCUUUCUAUACUACUAAAAGAAAUUACUUGACAGUUCAGCACUAUUUUCACAAACCUGAAUUCUCUUCCAAGACAACUUGCUUAUUUAAAAAAACGUUAAUUGAUUUCCUUUACCCAUUUGAAAACAGCAAACUGACUGCUUUUUCUUUUUGUUGAGGAACAGAUAGUUAAUAAUCACUUCUUCCUUCUUACUUUUCCUAAGAAGAUGCUUAUGAAAGAGUGAGACUUAUACUUCAUACGUUGCUGUCAGAAUCCACCUCAAUGAGCUAGAGCAACAUCGUCUCUAAGUUGUAGGAAGAGCAUUGUUCCACUUUAUUUCUUAUUCGUUAAAACUAUGGUUCAUUUUGACAAGUGCUAUUUGAAUGGUACCAUAAAAGACACAGAAAUGCAAAACAUUUCUUUUAAAUCCCGGUAUGAUCUAAAAAUUAUCAUUUUAUCUCUUUUGUCGCUUGCAAGCAUUUGCAAAUGAGAACAUAAAAGCUUAUGCAUCCAAACUAAAUCCAAAUCUGUGUUAAUGCAGAGUACACCACGUUUUGAUUAAGGACUUGACCCUCUGAGUCAAACUUCUAGUUUUGUCCUUACUCUUUGAACUUAAAACUAUGUACACAUUUACCAUUUGUCCUAGGUAAACCUGCUUAGAACUAAAUAAUACUGAGUGACUGCUUAUAAUGCAUAGUAAUAGAGCUGAUAUUUGUGUUUAAAAUUUUAUAUGUUACAAGUCAUAUUGAGUAAUAGAGGAUUUCUCAGGUCACAGAAAAAUGGAAACAUAUAGCUACCACCUUACAUUUGACCUGGCAUAUGUUUGGUUUAAUCCAGAAUAUGCAUUAUAUGUUGGUCAAUUAUAUUUCUUUACAAAGAGAUUCAGAUGUUGCUGUGACUUUUUAAUUAUCUCAAACGUUAUCUAUGUAAAAUCAUAAUUUAUAGUAACUGAUACAUUAUCUAGCAAAAAAAUUUCCUUAAAAUAUCUGGUCUUCUGAGAUAUUUACAAUUAUUCUUACAAAUGCUAAGAUAUGCAAUCUGCAAAAUGAAUUCUUGAAAAUUGUGGUAGGUAGAAUUCUGAGAUAAUCUCCAAGAUAGAAGCUCCUUGGUGUGCACACCCUCUAUAAUUUCCUCCCCUUGAGUGUGAACAGGACCAGUGAAUAUAAUGAGAUACCACUCUCAGGAUUAGGUUAUUUAUCAGUUGAUCUGGAGUCAAUCAAGAAAACUAUCUUGAGUGGUCUUGACCUAACCAGAUGAGCCCUUUAACAUAAAGUGAAGUGUCAAAGAUUCUUUCCUGCUGACCCAGAAGAAAGCAAACAGUUGUGUUGUGAAGGAAGGGACCAUGAAGCGAGCAGCUAAGGAUGGCCUCUGGGAACUGAGAGUGGUCCUCAGCAGACAGCUAGCAAGGAAAUGGAGCCUCAGUUAUACAGCCAGAGGGAAAUGAAUUCCACCAACGACCUGUGAAUUUGGAAGAGGACCCCGAGCCUCAGAUGAGGUCACAGCCUUGUUCACACCUUGAAUUAAAACUGUGAGACCCUCAGCAAAAGACCCAACUAACUCAUGCCUGGACUCCUGACCCACAGAAAAUAUGAAAUAGUAAAUUUGUGUUGUUUUGAGCCAUGGAAGUUUAUGGCAAUUUGUUAGCAGCAAUAGAAAACUAAUACCAAUAGGAAUAUGGUUUGAUCCAGGCAGAAUAAAUUUAACUGAGAACACUCACUCUUCUCAUUUAAUGAAAUCUGGCUGAAGGUUUACAACAGCCCACAAAAUUUGGUAUCAUUCACGGCAAAUGAAAAAAGUUUUGGAGCCCCAAGUAAUAUUGUUAGUUAAAAGGAAAGCAAGAGUUUUGUAAUUUUGUCUCCUUCUCUUCUUCAGAUAGAUGCUGUUAUCAUUGACAAUGACACUGCCAAUCAUUCUUGUGUUGCAAGAAAUUGGCUAGGCAUAUCUUAGAAUUCUCUUCACUGCUCACAGGUUUCAGACUCAUAAGAGAUGAUAAACUUCUAUGGGAGCCUCGGCCCUUCUUGACAGUAGAUUCUGUUCUCAAAGCCUUGGACAAAGGAUUAUAAUUAAUUGUGGCAAUGCUUGCGUUACCCUCUCCAUGAACUCACCAUUCCCUGUGUGUCACCUUCUGAGUGUCAACAGCAGACAGCAUUGAAUGAGUCUCAGACAAAAAUUCUGAACAUCAGUGAUAUUUCUUCCUGCUUCCCCUGGUUUGGAGAGUUCUGCUUGGCAAGACAUUAAAUCAUGUGGAUAUCUGCCUUUGACAACUCUUGGGAAUCCAGAGCUGAGAAUCAUUUUACAUAGCGUAAAAUUCACUGGAGUCUGUCGAAUCGUGAGCCAAUAUUUGGAGGGAAUGGCUAACAAGUGUCUGCCAUUUUCUUUUUUCUUCUUCUCUGUCAGAGGAUUCAGAAUUUCCAAGUUGGGGUCAGAAUAAAAUAUGUGAUAAAAGCAAGAGCUAUCCAGCGUAGGAUCUUUGCUGUGCAUCCUAAUAAUGCAAUAGUUGUUGGGGCUGGCCCCGUGGCCGAGUGGUUAAGUUCGCGCGCUCCGCUGCAGGCGGCCCAGUGUUUCGUUGGUUCGAAUCCUGGAAUCCUGGGCGCGGACAUGGCACUGCUCAUCACACCACGCUGAGGCAGAGUCCCACAUGCCACAACUAGAAGGACCCACAAGGAAGAAUAUACAACUAUGUACUGGGGGGCUUUGGGGAGAAAAAGGAAAAAAAAUAAAAUCUUUAAAAAAAAAAAAAUAAUGCAAUAGUUGUUGCAGAUCAACAAUGAAAACACAGCCACAGCACAUACACACACACACUCAGUUUUGAGGACACAUAGACUCCUGCUGAAGAAUUCUUAUAAUUGAUAUUAUUUCUUCUCUUCUAGACUGUCAUAUUAUUCUGCCGAGAGAAGAGCUACAGCAGAGGCUGUAAGAGAAAACUAUCCCCAAUCUAUUUCCAUAGUAAACCACCUUUAUAUUAUUUCUGAGAACACCCCUGAGAAUACACUUUUGUGGCUGUAGCCUAGUUACAAGGCUGGGUCAGCAUUAAGUCAUUACUAGUGAAUCUGAUUUUUUCUUUCUCUGCUGAGAAGACAAACAGUAGUACUGGCCAGACGUUCUUUAACACCAUAAAUGUUUAUCACACACUUAACUACUAAUUCUAUAGUCGGUUGUUGACUCAUAAGCAACAUGAAUAAUCUCAAUACAGUAAACUGACAACAACUGGGCUCAUUUCAUUCAGUCAUCUUUCCUUAUUUUAAACCAAAAUGUCCACAAGGCAUAUUUUCCCCCAUAAGCCUAAAUCUGAAAAAUUAAAAUGGUAUAUCAUGUUCAGUGUUGUUCUUUAAAGAUCCCUAGAAUAAAAGGCUCGAGUUUGAGGAGCAGAUCCAAAUCUUCUUGGCAGCUUGAACUUUCUAAACUCCAGUGGCCUUAUCUUUAAAAAAAAAAAUGAAUUAAAAUAAAAGAAUCCUUGUAGUGUGUUUUCUAUCUCAUAAAGUGGUUGAAGGAAUCAAACGAUAGAUGCCAUGCCUGCUAGUUACCUGUUUGCUUUCUGAUUCUGUCUCUGCUCUUUACUUGCUCCUGUUUUGCAGGAAACUGCAAAUUCCAUGCUCUCAUGCUUUCUGACUUCUGCAUAGUUUCAUCCAAGGGGAAGCAGUUUUACAGAAUUCAGUGAUGUGAGUUACUGAAGGGCCUGAGUAUUGCUCCUCUGUUCUCUCUUUUUUAAGUAACACGUCUGGCUGGGGCUCCUCCGUGGUUCCAACCUGCAUCAGCCAGCCAUUUCCUCCACGGUCUCAACUCUGGCAAGACACUUCCCGUUGGUUUUGCAUUCUUGCUAGAUGGUCCCUCUUCUUGGCUCUGGUCUUACCACAUUAUGCUGUUGUCCCUCUAGCCCCAGGGGUAGCAGCUCCCAGUUUUUGCCCAUCUCUUAGUUGCCUCACCAUCUCUUACAUGGCUCCUCAUUUCUCCUAUUAGCUAUGUACCCAAUUCACUGUAUUAAAUUCCUCCACUGUAAAAGACCAAGAUUAGUUUCUGUUUCCUGGCUGGACCUGGACUGAUACUGAUGAAAAAAUAUGUUAAAGAUUAUGAGUGUUCUGUAAAUGUAGAGUAUUAGUACCAUAGUCAUCUUAAUGAUUGUCAUAUGUUCCAAAGGUGAUAUAUUUAGUAAAUCUGCCAUUUUGGCACUCUCCCAUUAUUAUCUCCCUUCAUGGGCAUGGGUAAUCAAUUAUCUAUGUUAUGAAUAUAUCCAUGAAAUUAUAUGUAGAGGGAUGGAAUAUUAUGUUUUGUUUCUGUUUUAUAUAUAUGUAUCUCUAUUAAUGGAAAAAUGCAGAAUUAGAAUGGGAGUAUUUCGGAAUGUGUUUGGAUGUCACUUCAAAUUUAUUUCAGUGUGGAGCAGAGGGAAUGGUGGCAAUUUCCUUUUAGCUACCUUUCCUAUUUCAUCUCCUGACUUUUGUUAAAGAAUGUAUCAAUCCUCAGGGAGAGACUUAUAAAAGCAAACAAAAGAAAGCAUUAGAAAGAAAUACUGAAAUGGCUUAUUUUGUCCAGAAGCAAACUUCUGACAACGUUCUAUGACUUACCCAUGUACCAUCAUCUAUCAUCUAUUUACCUACUUACUUGGAGAAGUCAGAAGUUAACUGCUUGUCAUGGGCAUGAAUAUUAACAUAUUUAUUUGUAUUGAAAAAUAAAGUCAAAUUGUUGUGCUGGAAAUUAAAUCUGGCUUGACUGAUUGGUUUGAAAAUGAAUACUGGCUCUAAUUCAUGCCAAUCAGGUCAUAUGGUGGGCAUUUUCCAUAAGCUGAAUGAACUAAAUCGAGAGCUCCCAGCUUUUUGAUGAAAUUGUAUUUAAAGCAGGUGACAACAUAAAAGUAUUUUAAAAGUUUUUUCUAACUUUGUAUUUAUCAGUUUAAGCAAGUUGCCUCUAAGUGGAAGAAACACAGGUCUAAUUAACAGUUUUUUAACAAGUCUUGGUAAAGUCUUUCCUGCAACAGAGAAAGUAAAAGAUUCUAAUGACAGAAUGGCAUGCAUUUAUUGACUCAUUUGUUGCAUUCUACAAAAUUGAAGACCUAAUUGAAUUGUCAGCUGAUAGAUUAUUAAAACUGAUGAUAGAUCACAAUGUGAUUUUUUUAUAUGGACCUCAGAAAAUAUUUGAAGAAUUGAAUAGUGUUGCCAUGACAAAACUUCUUCUAUUGACAUCUCUUUGUUUAUAGGAACAAAUUUUCUCAGCAGAUACAUUUUUAAAGCAAACAGAUAAUAGGAAUAAAAUUGUUAAUGACUUCACUAACAUUUUACCAAUAAGUUGUAUUUUUUAUGAUACAUGAACUUAUUAAAAAUGACAAUGUACCAAUUUCAUUAAUAAAUUAUUUCUAAUAAAGUUUUUUUGUGCUUGAAAAAUAGUUAUCAAAAUAUUGUUUUAUCAACUGUACAAUCUUAAGUCAAAGAGAUUAUGUAAUAUUAAGUCAAAGUUAGAGUCAAAGGAAAUUUAAUAGAAAUAAAAAUUUCAAUUUAUAUUCAUAUUUUUGUGACAGGGAAAACAAGCAUAAAAAAUGUUACAUUAAUUGGGGCUGUCCCCGUGGCCCAGUGGUUAAGUUCGUGCGCUCCGCUGCAGGCGGCCCAGUGUUUCGAAUCCUGGGCGUGGACCUGACACUGCUCAUCAAACCACGCUGAGGCAGCGUCCCACAUGCCACAACUGGAAGGCCCACAAUGAAGAAUAUACAACUAUGUACUGGAGGGCUUUGGGGAGAAAAAGGAAAAAAGUAAAAUCUUUAAAAAAAGAAAUGUUACAUUAAGAUAUGAUUUUGCGUGGUAACUGAAAUGGAAACAUGAAUCUAAGAUGUGAAAGAAAUAAAAUAAAAUUUCUGACUUAGAGGAAAGCCUGCUUAUGUAACUUUAAAAAUAGAUUUGUUUGCUAUGAUAUUUAGGUACUUUUGGAUACUUUUUACAAAGUGGUCUAGCUGUUUCAUUUAAUAAAUGCUAAUUGUUACAAUAUAACAGAAAUUGUCUUCUUUGCAACCAAUUAAACAUGAUGAAAAGUCUUUUAGCCAAUAUGUAAGCAAACAUUUUUGAAGACCUACCACACUAUGCUCUUUCUUCCCUGAAAUGUGAUUGUACUUAUUCUGUUUACAUCUGUCCAAGCACAUUAAUGUAGCCCAUCUUGUAUUAACUAAUUUAUUCUUCUUCCUCUGUCUUAUCUCCAUCUGGAUCAGCUAUGGUGUCCAGCUCCAUGCUGGAUUCAUAGCACAAUGUGGACUCAAUAUAAUUUUCAUAUGAGAGUCAUCUGAAAAACAGAUAAUAAACUCAGAUACAGAAAUAUCUGCUGAUUUCUCACUGUUUUUCUCAUCUUCAGAGAGUGUCCUAUUUUUGGCCCUUCCCCCCCACUUCGCUGAUGACUUGAAUUUCCAUAGCCCUCUCACCACCUUUUACAAUCUCUUAAUCAUUCCUCUUUCAAAGCAUUUGAAUUUAGGUUUAGUAUUGGGUGACUACCAAGUGAAUCAUUUGGAUUGUGAAAAAUAACCCUAGAUCAAUUUAUUUUAUUUCUCCAGUACACUGUUUCAAGUCUCUUUUACUUCUUCCUUUAUGAGGGUAUUUCUCUGG